AUUUUAUUUAUUUAUUUAUUUAUUUAUUUAUUUAUUUAUUUAUAGACAGGAAGCAGGAUUUAUUGGUGGGCAUGAAUGGGAAAGGGCAGUGCUGAGGUUCUCAUGAGUGCAGAGCCUGCCAUUUGUCCAAGGGGCCACGAUUAGGGAUGUAUUUGACCCCACAGCCAUCUGGGAUGAGCCGCUUUUCAGCCACCAUGGUCAGAUCUGAAGAGCAC